UGGAAAUAUGAAAUGCAAGCAGGACAGCAAUCCCCCUGGUUAGGAUGGAAGAAGUCCCAAUUUUUAAAACCAUAUUUAAGACUGUCACUUACUCUGUGGCAUUUAAUCUAU
rnacentral:ncRNA from 1 species